CCCGACCCCGGACCUCACCUCUUGGGCCUCCACAGCAGACCAGAGAGCAGAGCUGCGUCUUCCGCCCGGGCAGGGGGUGGGGUCACGUCCUGGGGCGGGGCCUUGGAGAGUGGGGGCCGGGCGGGCCCAGAGCCCCGCGCCAGGUCGCCCUCGCCCACCGAACCCCGGCUGGAGGACACUAGACCCUGGGAAGGGCCCGCCCGACAUCCCUCCAUCCCUUCCCGGCUUGGCCCCGGGUCUUUUUCUGAGACGCGCGCCGAGCCAGCGCCCACAGCUAAGCCUUCGCCGCUUUCCGCUGAACUCUGGGGAAAAGAUGGAAACUAUCUGUCUUGGCUGUGAUGAAAUGCGUCAGUGUGUAAGCAGAUACGGUAGGUUUCCUGGGAGAGAGAACCAGGCAUGGCUUUCUUAACAGAAGCCAUUUUUUGGCCUAAGCCGUUUUGUGAUCUAAGCUGGGCCACAAUGCUUUGCCCUUGAACAGGUCUCAGUAAUUGAUGAUCUUAAGGGAACAAAAGAACGCAGAAACAAACGACUGUAAUCAGACAAGAGAAGUAACAACAGCAAAAAUAAUGUUCCAGUUGUAAAGACUCCCGGUUCUGUUUCAAUGGUGACGAUUAGCCUGAAGCCGCAACCACCAGACCUACCGGAAUCUAAGGGGUGAAGAUGACCUUUUCUGACCCUCCUGACUUCAAUCAAAUGAACCCAGGACUCUGCGGGGAGACACUGCUUUGGAGAAGAUCCCCAGUGUUCCCCUUACUUGCAGCCAGAAAUAAACCCUUCCUUUCCGGA